CCUGGAAGAAGUGAGACCCCAGGUUCUUAACUGGAUUACCCUGAAAGGCCCCAGCAGCUCCGCCGACACUCAUUUCACACGGGACAGGAAUUAUUACCGUGUGACGGAGGAAGAUAUC